GGGAAGGGUGUCAAGUGAAUACAGGCAUGGAGGUGCCGAUGAAAAGAACCUGGGCCUUGUUCACUCAGCUGUCGUUCUCAGUCAGAGUCCGCUCCCAGGAAGACUGCUGCUGACCAGAGGCGAGCCGACCACUGGGAGCUGGCAGCUCUGCUCUGUCUGCUGAAAAAGAGAACCAUCUCCAAGUUGAGGAGACCUCAGAAACCCUGGGAAGAGUCUGCUGAGCUGGCUGUUUCUCCCACCAGCCCCGCAGAAGGUCAUGCCCAGGAUACAGAGAAAAAAAUCCCAGCCUACCAGGCUCCUUCAUCCAUGGAAUUUUCCAGGCAAGAACAGUGGAGUAAGUUGCCAUUUCCUCCUCCAUGGGGAUCCUCCCGACCCAGGAAUCUAAGCCACGUCUCCUGCAUUGGCGAGUGGAUUCUUUAUCACUGGAACUACCCAGGAAGCCCUGAAGAACCAUGGAAGAAGACCUCAGAUACCCCACCUUAAAACAGGUGUGAGGCUUCUCUGGUGGCACAGUGGAUAAGAAUCUGCCUGCCAAUACAGGAGACAUGGGUUCAGUGCCUGGUCGGGGAAGAUCCCACAUGCCGUGGAACAACUGAGCCCAUGCACCACAACUACUGAGCCUGUGCUAUGGAGCCCAGGGGCUGCAGCAGCUGAGCCCGUGUGCUGCAACUACUGAAGCCUGCACCCUACAGCCAGUUCUCUGCAACAAGGGAAGCCACCACAAUGAGAAGUCCACCCACGGCAACUAGAGAGUAACCCCCACUCGCCACACCUGAGUAAAGCCUGAGGAUCAACGAAGACCCAGCACAGCCAAAAAUAAGUAAAAUUAUUUCUUUCAAACGGGUGUGGAAAUACUUUUGUGCAAGUUUUAUACACAGGGAAGGUGAUACAGUCAUUGCCAUAUGACUUUGCCCACAUCAGCAAGGACUUGCCAGAAGCUGACUGCUUUUAUGGUCCUGAUGAUUUGUCUAGG
ensembl:lncRNA